UCGGGAAUUUUGGGCAAUGGGCGAAAGCCUGAUCCAGCCAUGCCUCGUGUGUGAAGAAGGUCUUCGGAUUGUAAAGCACUUUAAGUUGGGAGGAAGGGCAGUUACCUAAUACGUGAUUGUUUUGACGUUACCGACAGAAUAAGCACCGGCUAACUCUGUGCCAGCAGCCGCGGUAAUACAGAGGGUGCAAGCGUUAAUCGGAAUUACUGGGCGUAAAGCGCGCGUAGGUGGUUAGUUAAGUUGGAUGUGAAAUCCCCGGGCUCAACCUGGGAACUGCAUCCAAAACUGGCAAGCUAGAGUACGGUAGAGGGUGGUGGAAUUUCCUGUGUAGCGGUGAAAUGCGUAGAUAUAGGAAGGAACACCAGUGGCGAAGGCGACCACCUGGACUGAUACUGACACUGAGGUGCGAAAGCGUGGGGAGCAAACAGGAUUAGAUACCCGUGUAGUCCCUGAGCGGGCUGGCAAGGCGCAU
rnacentral:rRNA from 1 species